UUCUCUGUUUUUCACGGUACUACACUGUUUUAUUUUGUCCUUUUUCUUUUCCCUUUUUCAUAUUUUUUUGUUGUCCGGAAAUACAUGAACCUUUUUUGUUCUAGCUGAACACUUAUUUAUUUAUCGUGAAACAUUUUUUUAUCAUAGGUGAACACUUUUUUAAUUUAUCAUGAACCAUUUUUUUUCAAACAUAAACCAUUUUUUACCAUGCACCAUUUUUCAUUAUAGCUGAACAUUUUUUAAUUUAUUGCGAACCUUUUUGUAACAUCGGUGAACAUUUUUCUAAAACUAGACUAACCUUUUUUUGUCAUGUGUGAACAUUUUUUUUUUGAGAAUCCUGUGUGAACAUUUCUAUUUCAUGUUUUUUUGAGCUAAAAACAAAACCGACCCUAUUGUUGGGCCGGACCAAAGCCGGCCUAGCAUCAGAUCGCUGCGGGGGGGUGUUAGGGAACUCAUAAAAGGAUCAUGGCACAUGAAACCGGCCCAGCCAACGUUGAGUCUGCAUAACCCUAACCUAGAAGUGUCAUUUCUCCUUCGGCGGCCGCCGCCUGUUGUUCCCCUUCCGUGUUCAUCGUCCGUCUCCAACUGAUCCGCCCGGCGAUCGUCAGAUCCAUCUGAGAAAAUCCGCUCCAGUUAAAUCCAAUCCAGAUGGAGCUAGCUAGGAUGGAUCCACCCGGCGUCGAGCUCCCCAAGAGCUGCCUCCUCGCUAUCAAGCCUGUGGUCGCCGAUUCCACCAACGCCACCACCGCCACCUACCAGACGGAGCACCCGGAUGACUCUCGCGCGAUCUCCAUUCAGGUGCAAAGGGAGACCUGGAAUGGCUAGGAACGCACCGUGAACAGCAAGGCGGCGUGGAGCUUAUGAUGCGGAUGACAAGGAGCUGGAACAUGUGAAGCCGGGUCUGAUUUAGUUUAACACUGAUGAAUGCCUACAUCGAUUUGCAUUGCGUUUGUCAAAGUUUGAUUGUGAGAGUUUUAUUAACAUAUUGGUGUGCACCGAUCCAGGAUUGUUGUUAUAUGGAAGAAAAACCACCGACAUUGUGUUUGUCCAUUUUUUAUGUAUUAAGAGGUUUCAGUACUCGAGUGCAUUGAUAUUAUUAGCUCGUA